rnacentral:rRNA from 1 species
UACGGAGGGUGCAAGCGUUAUCCGGCCUCACAGGGUUUAAAGGGUGCGUGGGCGGCUUGAUAAGUCAGAGGUGAAAGCCCACGGCUCAACUGUGGAACUGCCUUUGAUACUGUCAGGCUUGAAUUGGGUUGAGGCAGGCGGAAUGUGGCAUGUAGCGGUGAAAUGCUUAGAUAUGCCAUAGAACACCGAUUGCGAAGGCAGCUGGCUGGGCCUACUUUGACCCUGAGGCGCGAAAGCGUGGGGAGCGAACAUG